rnacentral:lncRNA from 1 species
GAUAAUCAUAAUCACAAACCAUUAUUACCGGAAGUGCACCAAUAUCGAAAACAUCGAUAUACUAGACAAGGUCUUCCUCUGCCUAUCACAUGCUCCAGUCUUUGAGGUCUUUGAUGGGGAAGAUAACAAAUGAGCGUUCGCUUGACAACGUGACGGCAAAGGGGACCUAGCCUAUCUAUUUAUAAGAUAACAACCCUAGUACCACCCAUCAUGGACUCUAGAGUUGGGCCUACACUUUGUUUCUACACAAAUCAGAAUUAGUGUUCAAG